UACAGAGGGUGCGAGCGUUAAUCGGAAUUACUGGGCGUAAAGCGCACGUAGUCGGCUUUGCAAGUCGGGUGUGAAAUCCCCGGGCUCAACCUGGGAACUGCAUCCGAGACUGCAUUGCUAGAGUAUGGGAGAGGGAAGCGGAAUUUCUGGUGUAGCAGUGAAAUGCGUAGAUAUCAGAAGGAACAUCAGUGGCGAAGGCGGCUUCCUGGACCAAUACUGACGAUCAGGUGCGAAAGCCAGGGGAGCAAACGGG
rnacentral:rRNA from 1 species